rnacentral:tRNA from 1 species
UGGCUUAGAGGUAAAGAAUCUGCUUGCAAAGCAGGAGACUCGGGUUCAAUCCCUGG